CCUCCCCUUUCUCCCUCUAUCCCUCACAACGCCUUGCCGAAAAUGGCAAAGGUCAGGCCACAUGCUGCUUUCUCAGUGUUGUUCAUCCAAAAUGAGAAAGAACAUUAAUUACUCUUGCCCUCUCUCACCUUUCUUCCGUCCAGACGCCACCAAGGUAAGGGUUUACCCCCUUCUUUCUUUUCCUUUCUCUGGAAUAGUACUGAUUGGCUUUAAUUGUUAUUUUCCACAUUAUGGUCUUCAAUUUGAAACUCAAAAUUCCAAGAGGAAUUUGUGUUUAGGAUCCUGUCCCACAUCGACCAAACUCUAGAUUUUGUGAUUUUAUCGAGUUCUAUAUAAAGAGCUCCCAUUUUCAGUUCUCAAGAGGAAUACACUAACGUAUUUGGGUAAAUUUCUAUUGAGCUAGUUCAUUUUGUUCAGAUUGGCUAAGUGAUUCAAUUUUUUGUCGAUUCGAAGCACAAUGAGAAACCUAAACUAUUUCUUUUCUUUUCUUACAUUCAUUCUUCGGCCCGAGGCCAAGACGAAGUGCUGAAGAGGAAUGAAAGCUGAAAGUUCAAAGUUUGAUCGGUUGCUCGCAAAUAUUGUCCAAAUGGACUGUGUCACUGGUGCAUUCUCCGUUGGGCCAAAGGCCCAACAACACCUUAUUCCUUAUCAAGUCCACAAAGCCUAGAAGGGCAUUCCCAGCGAAGCAGCUGCGCAGGUGAGGGAAAUGGGCCAAAUGACGCGCAAAAGGCCCACUUCUCGAGUGAAAAAGGAAAGUGGGAUGUUCGGUUUGCAUUUCGGGCCCAAGGCCCAACUUUUUAUUAUCUCCAGCUUUAUUUAUAUAUUUUGUUUAUGAUUUUUAUGUAAUCAACACUUUGAAACCCUAUUGGAACUUGGAUAAAACACGAGUAGGACGAUGACGAGUUGUAUAGAUAAUAUUGUUUUCAGAAUCA